AUGUUAGGUCUCCUUAGUUCCAAAUAUGGUUUUACAGGUUCUAAAAUUAUUUCUUUGAUGCGAGGUGCCAUGCUGUGGAUAUCAAGAAGAUUAUCAAGGCGGAGCGGCGGUGAGUAUGGAGCUCAUAAUCAUCAGUUCAUCACCAUGAAGCAGAAGAAAUGGUAUAGCUUUGCCAUGCUGGACUUUGGCAGCCGCCGCUCCUCGGCAAUCAAGAGGAGGUACAUCCGCUGCCACCACUCCUUCGCAGCGACGCAGGCCAGCGACGAGGAGGCUCGCAAUGGUGGGGGACACAUCACUAUCUGCCGGAGAGGAGAAAGGCAUACCUACCCCUUAAUGAUUGAAAUGCAGGUCCAGGGAAAACAUCUGCACUACUGUUGGGCCAAUUGA
rnacentral:rRNA from 1 species